rnacentral:rRNA from 1 species
AGUGAACGCUGGCGGUAGGCCUAACACAUGCAAGUCGAACGGCAGCACAGUAAGAGCUUGCUCUUACGGGUGGCGAGUGGCGGACGGGUGAGGAAUACAUCGGAAUCUACUUUUUCGUGGGGGAUAACGUAGGGAAACUUACGCUAAUACCGCAUACGACCUACGGGUGAAAGCAGGGGAUCUUCGGACCUUGCGCGAUUGAAUGAGCCGAUGUCGGAUUAGCUAGUUGGCGGGGUAAAGGCCCACCAAGGCGACGAUCCGUAGCUGGUCUGAGAGGAUGAUCAGCCACACUGGAACUGAGACACGGUCCAGACUCCUACGGGAGGCAGCAGUGGGGAAUAUUGGACAAUGGGCGCAAGCCUGAUCCAGCCAUACCGCGUGGGUGAAGAAGGCCUUCGGGUUGUAAAGCCCUUUUGUUGGGAAAGAAAAGCAGCAGGUUAAUACCCCGCUGUUCUGUCGGUACCAAAAGAAUAAGCACCGGCUAACUUCGUG